UACGUAGGGUGCAAGCGUUAAUCGGAAUUACUGGGCGUAAAGCGUGCGCAGGCGGUUUUGCAAGUCAGAUGUGAAAUCCCCGGGCUCAACCUGGGAACUGCAUUUGUGACUGCAAGGCUAGAAUCUGGCAGAGGGGGGUAGAAUUCCACGUGUAGCAGUGAAAUGCGUAGAUAUGUGGAGGAAUACCGAUGGCGAAGGCAGCCCCCUGGGCUAAGAUUGACGCUCAUGCACGAAAGCGUGGGGAGCAAACAGG
rnacentral:rRNA from 1 species